rnacentral:rRNA from 1 species
UACGGGGGGGGCAAGCGUUGUUCGGAAUUACUGGGCGUAAAGCGUGCGCAGGCGGUCUUUUAAGUCAGAUGUGAAAUCCCCGGGCUUAACCUGGGAACUGCGUUUGAAACUGGAAGGCUUGAGUGUGGCAGAGGGGGGUGGAAUUCCAGGUGUAGCAGUGAAAUGCGUAGAUAUCUGGAGGAACACCGAUGGCGAAGGCAGCCCCCUGGGCUAACACUGACGCUCAUGCACGAAAGCGUGGGGAGCAAACAGG